rnacentral:rRNA from 1 species
CACCAGGUUGAUUCUGCCUGACGUAGACGCUAUACUCUAAGAUUAACCC